rnacentral:rRNA from 1 species
AUUGAACGCUGGCGGCAUGCCUUACACAUGCAAGUCGAACGGUAACGGGCCUUCGGGUGCCGACGAGUGGCGAACGGGUGAGUAAUACAUCGGAACGUGCCCGAUCGUGGGGGAUAACGAGGCGAAAGCUUUGCUAAUACCGCAUACGAUCUACGGAUGAAAGCAGGGGACCGCAAGGCCUUGCGCGGACGGAGCGGCCGAUGGCAGAUUAGGUAGUUGGUGGGAUAAAAGCUUACCAAGCCGACGAUCUGUAGCUCGUCUGAGAGGAUGAUCAGCCACACUGGGACUGAGACACGGCCCAGACUCCUACGGGAGGCAGCAGUGGGGAAUUUUGGACAAUGGGGGAAAGCCUGAUCCAGCCAUGCCGCGUGCAGGAUGAAGGCCUUCGGGUUGUAAACUGCUUUUGUACGGAACGAAAAGCCUUCUUUUAAUACAGGAGGGUCAUGACGGUACCGUAAGAAUAAGCACCGGCUAACUACGUG